UACAGAGGCCCCAAGCGUUACUGAGAAUCACUGGGUUUAAAGGGUGCGUAGGUGGCGCGUUAAGUCCGUUGUGAAAGCGCUGGGCUCAACCCAGGAACUGCUUCGGAUACUGGCGCGCUUGAGGCUAGUAGGGGUCACUGGAACUGACGGUGGAGCGGUGAAAUGCGUAGAUAUCGUCAGGAACGCCAAUGGUGAAGACAGGUGACUGGGCUAGUUCUGACACUGAGGCACGAAAGCGUGGGGAGCGAACGGG
rnacentral:rRNA from 1 species